AAUCGGUGGUGUGACAAAC
rnacentral:miRNA from 1 species